rnacentral:rRNA from 1 species
GGGGAGCAGCCCAGAGCCUGAAUCAGUGUGUGUGUUAGUGGAAGCGUCUGGAAAGGCGCGCGAUACAGGGUGACAGCCCCGUACACAAAAAUGCACAUGCUGUGAGCUCGAUGAGUAGGGCGGGACACGUGGUAUCCUGUCUGAAUAUGGGGGGACCAUCCUCCAAGGCUAAAUACUCCUGACUGACCGAUAGUGAACCAGUACCGUGAGGGAAAGGCGAAAAGAACCCCGGCGAGGGGAGUGAAAAAGAACCUGAAACCGUGUACGUACAAGCAGUGGGAGCCUCUUUUAUGGGGUGACUGCGUACCUUUUGUAUAAUGGGUCAGCGACUUAUAUUCUGUAGCAAGGUUAACCGAAUAGGGGAGCCGAAGGGAAACCGAGUCUUAACUGGGCGUUAAGUUGCAGGGUAUAGACCCGAAACCCGGUGAUCUAGCCAUGGGCAGGUUGAAGGUUGGGUAACACUAACUGGAGGACCGAACCGACUAAUGUUGAAAAAUUAGCGGAUGACUUGUGGCUGGGGGUGAAAGGCCAAUCAAACCGGGAGAUAGCUGGUUCUCCCCGAAAGCU